rnacentral:lncRNA from 1 species
ACAACAACAACAACCCAGCAUUUAGAAAACACACAUGCUACACAAUCCUAUUUUUCCCAACUUGAAAUCUGUUUCCACGCCAGGACACAGACUGGGAGCUGCUGCUAACGUCUCUCACAAUGUCAGCCCCUCUGGAAUUCCUGACCAGGCUUCUCUUCCCCGUCAUCCAUUCCAGGAAUUCACAAACUUCUUCUGUGAAGACGUAAAUAUUAGGGAGUAUUUUCAGUUUUGUGGGCCAAGAGGCAAAGCUGAGGAAUAGCACAUCAGUGCUUAUGUAACAAGACAGAAAACACAUUUCCGUGUACUUUUUACUGGCAGGGUUCAGAACUUCAUUGAUGAGCACUGAAAUUUGAACCUUGUAUGAUUUUCACAUGUCACAAAAUAUCAUUCUUCUUAUUUUCUUUCCAUCAACUUUUUAAAAGUGUGAAAGCUGAUCACACGCAACAAGGCAGUGGGUGGAACUGGGAGCAGCCUGUAGUUUGGCCAGCUGUGACCUCCCACACAGCACCAAGAAGUCACAUCUCCUGGAGUCCAGUUCCUAGAGCAUCUGUGCUGAAGGACUGUUCAGAGACUCUGCUUGCCCUUCCAGAGGUGCGUGGUCCUGGCAUGAACAUCCGUCGGGAUACACAUCUCCUCAUCCCAGAAGCCAAAAGCGGGCUCUGGACACCUCAACCACUAAAUCUUCCUCACGAGGUGCUUGUACCGCUGGGGAAGAGGCUAUAAACUAUGCCGAUCAUACUCCUGUCUAAGUGAGCUAGAGUGAUAAAGAUGGAAGACCUGGGAGCACGCUUUCAUUGAUUAUACCAUCCACUGAUCCCAGACAAGACUGCUGGGCCAUGUCAACCAUGGAGACCUUCUGGAUAGACCUUCUGGAGCUGUCUCCAGCCUUCCCUUCGGCCCUGGGAGCUCCCCUGCAUCCUUCCAAUAAGCCCCCUUCUUUCUUACAUUAGUCACAGUGGCUACUGUUCCUGGCAACCAAACACUGUAACUCAGGCACCACUCACUCUUGGGGGAGUGAGGGCAGACAUCCAGAUUUUCAACUCACUCAGAGCAUCAGGCACAGCCCAAGGCAGCGCAAAGCUGAUCACUGGAGUAAAGGAGGAUGCGUUCACUCCCAGUACCUGUGCAGGUGGGAGGCGUGUGUGUACCUAGCCCAAGGGAAGGCUCUGGCAAGCCAGCCAGCCCAGGACCCUUCCUCCCAUAGGAAAACACUUAGCGGGUUGAGUCUUGAGCCGUAGAACACAGAAAACAGGCAGAGCUGCUUGGCGCUGACGUGCUCCCCGAGCACAGGGCCCUGGACUCUGCAGCAGUGACCUCAGGAGGGAGGGGAUAUAUAUAUAUAUAACUAUGACUGAUUCACGCUGCAGUGCAGCAGAAAGCAGCACAACAUUGUAAAGCAAGUUUCCACUCAUUAAAAAAUAAAUAAAAUUAAUUUUAAAAACCA